rnacentral:lncRNA from 15 species
CUUUAUUUGAUAGAGAGAGAUAGACAGGAAAGGGGGGCAGAGAGAGGGGAUGACUGAACUUAUAGAGUUCUCUAGAUGUUGUAGGAACUCAAACAGGAAUGUGCGAAAGAGACUUUUAAGUAGUGUUACCAUCUCUUUUCGAUUAAAAGUAGCUAAAACCUGCUCCAAAAGUCACUAAUACUUUAACAACCUUAGCCUAAAUGGUUUUCUGUGUUUUAACAUUGGACUUAAUCUUCUGUACUGCAUGUUUUCAGAACCUCCUGUGGACACUAGUGUCACAGAGGCCAACAGAGUGUAUGAGGAGAUCAGAGAGGAGGACAGACAGAGCAGAUCUCCUCCUGCAGAAAUAUCUACAGUUUACACUUAUGCCAAAUACUCCAAACCAAAAUGUCAUGACAACCGAUUUGCCACUGGAGCAAGUUCUCAGAAGAACACUGAAGACGACCCGAGUAAACUCACCUACUCUGAGGUGGAUUUCUCCAACAGUGCAGCUGCCUCGCUCCACAGUGCCCCCCGUGGUGAUGCAGAUAGAGCCUUAAUACAUUGAUUCAUACUUUUACAUCCAUUUUCCAGUCGACACUCUCCUUCCGUUUAAAUCAUUCCCUGUCUCAAUUUUGUCACAUCUUAUCUCAACCUUGCUUGAUUUUGAUCUGUCUCUGCCUUAGACGUUGUUGGUUUCUGUGGUUAAACAUUAUGUUCAGAGUCUGGUAUGAAAACAGAGACUUUCAAUCUGCAAUCAACUUUUGUUGUUUGUUUUAGUUUUAUAGUUAAAUCACUGCAUUUUGUUGUAUUUAGACCGUCCCAGUCAGCAAAAAGAUUCAGUGUCAAUUUAUCUGCCUCCUUCUGCACUGACAGCGACGCCAGUUAGCAGUCAUAGAAAAAAGCUGCGAAACUGGUGAAUAAAAGAAAAGUGAAUGUCGAAAAGCAGAGAACCCGCCCAGUCUGUAGAUAAAAACAGUUCAAUCUAAUUUUUUUUACCAUAUCAUGCAGCCCUAUUAGACACUAAUGAAGACCUGUGAAUAUUAUAUUCCAUUUCUCUCAAGAGAUCCAUUCAUUUUACACACUAUAGCUUUAAAUCUUUAUAUUUUAUUAAAUUCAUUAAUUGUCUCGUUUUCAGUUUCAUUGUUUUUGCAUGUUUAUAUGUAAAUCACUUUGAGUUGCCUUUGUAUAUGACAUGUUCUGAACUGCCUUUCCCUAAUUCUCUUCUUUACUAUUAAAACUAAAAUCCUUUAUACUGUAAUCAACCUAUGCAAUAAUAAAUGUAUGAAGGAAUCAUUUGAGAGUUGAGAGUUGAAUUUUGGUACCACAGUGCUCUGUUUACUCAGAGGCACCACCUGGUAGUGAUGCAGCAGUAUUCACAA